AUGAAUUGUCUGUCGAUUGUCAAAUACACAGAGUGUUCGCACAAAGAACAUUCAUUGUAUUUGAAAAAAGAAUAAAAUUUUAAUAAGCUCUUUAAUGUUUAUUGAUAAGAUGUCACCCUAUACAAAUAUUAUCGCUUCGUAAGCGAACUGGGCGACGUGACUGCUACAGUGACAAUCAUGGCUG